CCCUCCCCUCCCCCCAGAGGCAGCCAGACUCUCAUCUCCCGGCUCAGCGGCUCUGCUCUUGGUUGGCGUUCACCAGGCCUUCCAGGAUCCCCGGCUGCUCUCCUCCCCGUCCUCUCCACUCCUUUUCUCAGCCCCGGCCUUUGUGCCAGCUGCUCCCUCUCCUCUCCUGGGCUCCCCUGGGCCUGCUUCAUUCCCAAUGACCAUCCCCUCUGUGGCUGGGCUGAAAAAUGUCCCCACAGGUAUCCACAUCAUAACCCCCGAAACCUGGGAGUGAAACCUCACGUGGCCAAAGGGACCGUGCAGCUGUGAUCAAAAGACCUGGCGUCUACAGAGGACUAGAUAGCCGUUCUCCGCCACCAGGCUCGGCUCACCUGCAAAUAGGACUCAAGCUCAGCUCCUGUUCUCUCUGCCUCUUCUCACCGCACGCUCCACACCCGCAAACCCUGGGCGGCCCUGCAGAUUUCUCACUGUGGCCCCUCUCCCCAGGCCGUGACACGAGGCCAUGGAGGAAGGCUUGGCGCAGAGAAGGAGCAUAGACUCCUCUGGUAAGACCUGGGUCCAAAUCCUGGUUCUGUCAAGCUUGGUAAACUCUCUGAGCCUCAGUUUCCCUAUCUGUACAAUGGAGCUUUUAAUCUGCAUCUCACAGAGCUGCGACAACAAUUGCCUGACCUCCCCGCUUCUAGCCUGAAGCGUGUGUUGGUGAAGUUAGAAAACGCUUCCCAUUCCUCAAGACGCUUUACCGCCAUUUCCCGGGAAGUGACAGUCACCGGCAUACAAAAACUCUCUGACCUCGAAUAUGAACGACACGAUCUAGAGGUAGCCAGCCUGUGAUGUGACGUAAUGCAUCACACGUCUGAGUGUCCAGCUCAGAGGGGACACCCCAGAGCAGCCGCGCCCCUGCUCCUGGUUCAGAAGACGAACCCUCCAAACGACCUGCACUGCUCCUUGAUGCUCUGCGGCCGACAGCUUCCCUGGAGUUCCUGGCCUCGGCAGGGCUGGGGACAGCGUCCCUUUGGCCUUGGUGGGAUACCUCUGGGUCUCUGGGGGGCAAAGCUUGGGCACAGCAUAUCCCUCACCACAUGCAAAUGCACUCGCAGGACGGGGGACAUACCACCUGCAGGGCUGAGCUCUGAGCUGACCUCCUGACAAAGGACCAUGCAGGCGAAGACCUCCACAAACCACGGGUCGCCCCAGUCCAGGGGCCGGCAAGGCCUUCGUGUAUGUUUCCUUCGCUGAAAUAAAAGAGAAAAAACC
rnacentral:lncRNA from 1 species